UGUCCUGAGGGGCCUCCGCCGCCGGGGCGGGGGCACGCGCCUGGCGAGCGGCGCGCCCACGUGACCGCGGUGCGCGCACGUGACCGCGCGGCCGGGAGCGCACGGCCUCGUGCCGCGGGCAGCGGCGGCGCCGCGGGCUGCGCGCGCCCCGCCCCGCUCCGCGCGCCCCUUGACCGCGCCCCGCCCCGCGCGGCCCCGCGCGCACACCCCCGCGCUCGCGCGUCGCCUCACACCAUGGACAGCGGCGCGCGCGGGGAGCGGGGCCGGCGCUCCCGCCACGGGACCUCCCGUGCGCCCUUCCCCGUGCGCCCUUCCCCGUGCGCCCUUCCCUUCCCCGUGCGCCCGAGCGGGGCGGGCGCUCCCGGGCCCGGGCUGGGGUGCAGGCCGAGCGGAGCGCGGCUUCGGCCGAGGCGAGGGCUGUCGGGAGCCUCGUGUGGGUCGCGCGCUGCCGGGUGUUCCCAACCCGCGGCAGCGCUGGGCGGGAAACGGGACGGUGUGGCGGGACCUGUCCGGUCCGCACGCCGCUGCUGCCUGAAACCUGAAUCUGUCGUAUUUGGCGUAAUUUCUGAAGGUGAGCAGUCGCCCAAAGGCAGAUGUGCGACGUGUUUCUGGUGGGCCUCCCGCUGGACAGGCUCCCCAGGGAGGUGUCACGGCCCAACCUGACAGUGUUCAACAAGAGACUGGACAACAUCCUCAGACACACGGGGUGACCUGUGGGGUGUCCUGUGCAGGGACAGGAGCUGGACCCCAUGGUCCUGUGGGUCCUUCCAACUCAGGACGUUCUAUGAUUCUGUGAUUCUAGGUACGUGUCCCACACAUCCACACCACAGACACGUCAUCGACAUCCCAGGUGGCGUUUCGGAGCCGUAACGCGGAUCAUGACAAGACUCCACAUGCGCUUCCUCCUUGAUCCACCCAUCAAAAGUACUGCCUUACGCCUUCUUUGCAAGCAGAAUGGAAAACUGGACUGGCAACGGGAGCUCUGCAAACACAUUGAGUCAUGACAUGAAAUUCUCCAUGUACCUACAACAACAGAACGAGAGACCUUCCCAGAGCCUUGACUGUCUGCCCACGGAGGUCAUCACUUUGCUGCUCAAGGGAAGGUGAAUUUUACUGCUGCAAAAUGUGUCUCACCUUCUUCUGCCUCUUCAUUGAACAUGCCCGACCAAAUAUAUCUAUGAUAUAUAGUGAUUUAAGUCAGGAAGGAAUUAAAGCUCCUGUUCUUGCCACAUGAUUGAGUGCUUGCAGACACAGAUUCCUACGAAAGUAUAAUAAAGUACAUUAGCAGAGUAUUUGUGCCUUCAUAGGAAAUGAAUAUGGAUGUAAUUAACGAAAGCUGAUUUAUGUGGAACUGUAAAACCAGGUACAUAAAAUGAAAAAUUCUCUGUGAAUGUUAAGGCAGUGUUUUGUGGUGGCCAAAACAAGGCACGUAGAGUAUUGCAAUGGUACUAAGAAAGGAACUGAAAACUAAAAUGCCACUGUAUAAAUCCCUAGUACGUGGAUAUUUAAGAUGUUGUAUGGAGUUCGAGGCACCUGAUCUCUAGAGAUUAUAGUAGAACUGUUGUUCUACCAUAGUCUGCUACUAACGUUUUGAGAAUAGCAAUGUGUGGUGUGGCUUCUGUCUGAGGAAAUUGAAAGUGACAAGACUGACUAUGAUGAGGGGAUAACUAGGGUCUAUCAAAUAAUAAUGAAAGGCAAACGGGAAAAAUUUAAAAAACAAUCAAAUCCUUAGAAAACACAAGGAAUCAUUAAAUGGUCCAGACCUUGACCUCUGUCUCCACAAGACACUGUAUUGCUGACUGUUGGUGUAUUUGGGCACAGAUCAUACUGGCCGUGUUUCUUAGUUUCUUUCGUUCUGCGUCCAUUUUGAGCACUGUAGGAGACAGUACAGCCAUUCCUGCGUAACUUCCUUCUCGCAUCAUAAGCCAUUCUUCCUCUACGUGUUCUUUUCAACUUUUUGGGUUUGUGUUAAGAAUUUACAUAAGUGGUCUUCAAAUACAAAGAGGCUUGAUUAAAAAAAGCUGAGAACAAAUUCAAGCAACUCAAAGAGUUUACGUUCAAAAAAGUAAAAAGCAGUUUAAGCAGCACUAAGGGAUGGCUAUUUCAUCCCAUUAUUUGCUAAAAAGAGAACAGCUUUAUUAAAGAACGACCUCUAUUAGAGCUUUGAACACCGGUCACAGUAUUAUAUUCAUUUUUGAUGAGCUCUCACAGCAGUGCAUGCAAGAGAAAGGUCAGCGACAGAAUGCAGCCUUAGAGCUUGUUUUGGCAAUGUUUUCCUCUGUACAGAGCACAGCUGGAGCACCGGUGAGGUUCUGCGGUGCCACACCUGAGUGCUCCAAGACAGGGAAUACUUUAGAACCAGAUGCGUUUAGUCACCUCAGCGGAGGAACUCCUUGGAAAGAAAGUACUGCAGGCUGAGAUGUAUGUGGGAAAGGAAGAAAGGAAGGAGAGGUUAUUUAAGCCAGUUCUGGGCAAAGAUUCAGUUUAUUUUUUUCCUAACAGCAUUAACAGAAUGCUGUUUUAUGAUUCUCCCUUUACAAGUGCACAGAGGGGCAAACGCACAAACAGCAGCUCCUUCUUCUGAGCCUCAGGCUUUUAAAAUUUACUGUAAGACAAAUUUUGAAAGUCCAUUCGCAAGUUAUCUGCAGUCCAGCCCCCUUUCUUUUUUUUUGAAGAAAUAUAUAGUCCUUUUGGUAGGGAAAAAAAAACACAAAUAGGUGUUUUUAAUGGUAUGUAUUGUGAAAUAUAUGUGUGUGUGUGUAUCUAUUCCACUAACACAAGGAAAGCCUGCAUGUUGUUAUUUCUGGCUCCUUCCCCUGGACCCGUGUAUUCGUUCCCUUCAGUAGUGCUGCCCACAAGUACCUUGGUGCAGGCUGUUGAAAUUAGUUUCACUCUUGUGACCUUUUGUGUCAAGAAGUAUUGUAGAGUAUCCACUUAUGUCCUGAUACAAAGCACUUCAUUGCCUUAUAGCUCCUCUUUCUCGAUAACUUACAUACAUACCAUCACCUUUCAUAAUAAUUAAAAAUAUUACCUAUUUAUCUAAAAACCGAAUAUAGUGUUUCAAACUUUCACAUGCUGGAGCAUACAAAAUACGCCACAUAGUAUGAUCCUAAUUUAUAUGUAAAAGCACCUUCCUUGAAACACAAUCUCAUAAAUAGAUCAGUGAAGGAAAUUUACCAAGUAAUUUUCAUAAUUAAAAAGUAGGCAUGCACAUUCUAAAAGCUAAACCCUAACUCACAGCCAUUAGAUCAUGAAUAACCAAUACAAUGGACUUCAGUUAUAUAUCAUUAUAUAGAAGUCUGAGAAAAAUAUGAUCUUGCUGAUGCACAAUUUGUAUUCUAGCAAAUGGUUUUCAGUAGCAUGUACAUUUGAAUAAAUGUCUAAUACCCUCGCUAUUUGGUCAUUAAAAACCCUGUACCUAUUUUCAACUUAAAAUGUUUAUUUUAGCCAUGAAACCUCCCAGUGAAACCUAAAUAGAUGAAAUCUAUUCACUGGAGAUUUCAGUGGCCCUUAAUACCCAGAGAUUUAUUUCUGUAUAAAUUAUUAGAUCCGAUUAGCCUGCACCAAAUGAAAUUAUAUAUAAUGUGCUGGAAAAGUACAGGCAAAUGUCACAAAAUGUACAGUUAAGUCACUGUAAUCCAGUUACAGGUAGAUUCAAAACCUAGCUACAUUUUUAAAUUAUUUUAAAGCAAAUUAAAUAUGAAACAUUUGCUCUGAAUACUCAGAAUAAAGAAAAAUAUCAGAAUCUGUACAACUUUGGUAAAGAACAAGCAAAUAUCUCUAAAAUAGUUCACUAGAAAAUAACCUUUGGUUUUAAAGUUAAUUAAUUUUUGUCACUGACUGUGGUAAAUAACUAUCUCAAAUAUGAAUUUAUCAUUUAUCUACAGACUUUCUGGUGUUUGGUUAUUUUUUAAUUUUAUUUUAUUUUAUUUAAAUUAACAGCUCUACCUAGUGUACUAAAGGAAUGCAGACAAACAGGAGCCAAACAGUUGUAAUUUUUAAUACAGUUGUUGCUUUACCUCUCCUACCAUUGAUAUUCUGAUACAGGUACCCACAGAACUAUACCCACACCCCUCAAAAAAUGAGGAGUUUUUUUAAUAUAUAAAAAACCAUUAUCAAAAUAAUUUAAAAUUCCAGCUUGGUUCUUCCCCCCUCACUCCAAGUGUGUAUUUGGUUGCAAGGGCUUCAUGAUUUCUGAGUUCUGGUUAUACCAAAGAGUGAAAAAAACAAUGGUAUUCCUCUGAGUUUCAUUCAUUGGGAUCUGGAACAAAUACAGAUUUUAUGUUGCAAACUGUUAUUUGACAUAUGAAAAAUUUCUCAGAAGUCUUCAGGGAGGUGAAUGGGGUCUUCUGGCACCCUGAAGUUGGGUGAGAUGUCACACUCCUGGUUUUACUCUAAAAAUGUUUUGUUUCUAAAUAAAAUAGGAAAAGGGAAUCAUCUGCUUCUGGACAAACACACAGAAUACAAAAUUAUUCCACACUUAUGAUUCUGUUUUUUAUCCAAAGAACAUCCUUGCCAAUCUAGGAACAGUUUUACAAAGAACAAAUCACUGUACUCAUCUGUAUUUCCUCUUAAACUGCACAAGCUAUCAUCAGAUCUGUAGAAACCCUUCUAUAUAUCUGUUUUAAGCCACACGUACAUAUGCGCUGAGGAAAGA